rnacentral:rRNA from 1 species
GACGAACGCUGGCGGCGUGCCUAACACAUGCAAGUCGAGCGAGACCCCGCUUUCGGGUGGGUGUUCUAGCGGCGAACGGGUGAGUAACACGUGGGCAACCUGCCCUCAGCUCUGGGAUAACUCCAAGAAAUUGGGGCUAAUACCGGAUAUGACCGCUGACCGCAUGGUCUGGUGGUGGAAAGAUUUAUCGGCUGGGGAUGGGCCCGCGGCCUAUCAGUUUGUUGGUGGGGUAGUGGCCUACCAAGGCGACGACGGGUAGCCGGCCUGAGAGGGUGACCGGCCACACUGGGACUGAGACACGGCCCAGACUCCUACGGGAGGCAGCAGUGGGGAAUAUUGCGCAAUGGGCGAAAGCCUGACGCAGCGACGCCGCGUGGGGGAUGACGGCCUUCGGGUUGUAAACCUCUUUCAGCAGGGACGUAGCGAAAGUGACGGUACCUGCAGAAGAAGCACCGGCCAACUACGUGCCAGCCGCCGCCGUAA